rfam:Oryza sativa Japonica Group DNA, chromosome 8, cultivar: Nipponbare, complete sequence.
UUUAAGUGCAGUCAUGAGUUUCCAUGUCAAACUUUGAUCGUCCGUCUUAUUUGAAAUUUUUUUAUGAUUAGUAUUUAUAUUGUUAUUAGAUGAUAAAAGAUAAAUAAUAUUUUGUGUGACUUAUGUUUUUUUAAUAUUUUCAAAAAGUUUUCAAAUAAGACAUAUGAUCAACGUUGGAUAAAAAAAAUUCAUGGCUGCAUUUAAA